rnacentral:lncRNA from 1 species
GUUUGAAACCAGGGAUGCUUAACCACUGACCCACAUCCCCAGUUCCUCUUUUUAAAAAUAUUCUAUCUAGAGUCAGGAUCUCACUGAGAUUCUCAGUACUUUAUUAAGAUGAUGAGGCUGGCUUUGAACUUGAGAUCCUCUUGCCUCAGCCUCCUGAGCCACUGAGAUUACAGGUGUGCAUCACUGCGCCUGGCAGAUGUAUUAUAGUUCUAUAUUUGGUUUCCAGAGGAAACUGCCAAACCAUUUCCUACUGUAGUUGCUCUAACUUCUAUUCCUACCAGCAACACACGAGGGUUCCAAUUUUUUCCACAUCCUACUGAAACUUGUUCUUUGUCUGUUUUUAAUUAUGGCCACCCCAAUGAAUGUGAAGUAGCUUCUCAUUGUGCUUUUGAUUUGCAUUUCCCUAAUGACUAAUGAUGAUUAUUAGCCAUCUGUAUACUUCUUUGAACAAAUGUCUACUUUUAAGCUUUGCCCGUUUUUAAACUGGGUUGUCUUUUUAUUGCUGACUUGUAAGAGUAUGUUAUAGAUUAUGGAUGGUAGCCCCUUAUCAGAUAUUCAACUUCCAAAGAUUUCUCUCAUUUGGAAGGUUGCUUUUGUAUUUUCUUGGUGGUAUCCAUUAAAGCACAAGAUGUAUUAAUUUUGAUAAAAUCUUAUUUAUUUUUUUCUUCCUUUUAUUUCUUCUUGUUUGGUGUCAUAUCUAAGACACCCUUUCCUAGUUGGAGGCAUGAAGAGUGACCCUCUGUUUUUUUUUCCAAAAAUUCUAUUAUUUUGGGUCUUACAUUUAAGCCUUUAUCCAUUUUAAAUUAGCUUUUACACAUGAAGUGAGAUAAGAGUGCAAAUUAAUUUUUUUGCAUGUGGCUAUUCAGUCAUUCCAGCACCAUGUUAAAAAAACAAUUAGCCGGGUGCAGUGGCAUGCACUUCUGUAAUCCCAGUAGCUUGGGAGGCUGAGGCAGGAGAAUCCGGAAUUCAAAGGCAGCCUCAGCAAAAGUGACGUUCUAAGCAACUCAGUGAGACCCUGUCUCUAAUGAAAUACAAAAUAGGGCUGGGGAUGUGGCUCAGUGGUCAAGUGCCCCUGAAUUCAAUCCACAUUACUCCCUCCCCCCAAAAAUAAACCUAUUCUUUCCCUCUGGGCUAAAUUGUCUUGAUACCCUUAUCAAAAAA